UACGUAGGGGGCAAGCGUUGUCCGGAAUCAUUGGGCGUAAAGAGCGUGUAGGCGGUCCGAUCAGUCGGCUGUGAAAGUCCAGGGCUCAACCCUGGGAUGCCGGUCGAUACUGUCGGGCUAGAGUCCGGAAGAGGCGAGUGGAAUUCCCGGUGUAGCGGUGAAAUGCGCAGAUAUCGGGAGGAACACCAAUGGCGAAGGCAGCUCGCUGGGACGGUACUGACGCUGAGACGCGAAAGCGUGGGGAGCAAACAGG
rnacentral:rRNA from 1 species